rfam:Schistosoma rodhaini strain Burundi genome assembly, scaffold: SROB_scaffold0009973
ACACUACUGACGAGUCCCAUAAUAGAACGAAACGGCCGUCAACACAGUGC